rnacentral:misc_RNA from 1 species
CCGUUGCUAUCCUUUGCCCUCUCCUCAGCCUCCCCGAUUCCGUUUCAGGACAUUUGGCAGUGCUCAAGGGUGUCCAGAGACACCCCCUCCCUCCUUCACUCUCUUCCCCUGCACAGAUGUGCACUUGCUUUGUUUUUUUUUGUUUUUGUGUGUGUGCGCGCGCAGAGGGGGGAGGACCGGGCUCCCUUUCGCCUUCUCUUACUUCACAUCAUGCCUUCCUUUUCACAGGCAGAGGCGACGAAGGAGUGCGUGUGACUGCCAUAGACGCGUUCUACCAGGCGAAGAAGGCAAGAGCAGAUGCUGGAGAGGAGAAGGCGGUUGGUGGCCGUUGCUGAGCUCUCUCAAAGGCCGAAGGAAAACGAUGUCGCGAGAGCGGGAUGAAUAGAAGAGGCACGCAAGUCAGGCGGCAGGGGACGACAGUUGUGGCUGAGUACACCUCACUGUUUUUUUUUUUCUCGUCGCCUCAUGCACCUUCUGAAUCCCCUCUCCCCCUCUGUUCCCACAAUUGUCGCUCUUUCCGUUGAACCCCUCCCACCACCCCUUCCGGCAUUCUCCUUUGCAAGUGACGAGGGCAACAGCAAGACAGAGAGAUAGAGAAGCCGCUGCAAUCGGAGUGGGCUGUGCGUGAGAGAGGGGGGGGGUGCGGGGCGGACGGGCGGGUGGGUUUCGUGGGCUCCCUUUCAUCCGUGUUAUUGCCUUUAGUCCUCGUUAUGUAUUUACUUUGAUAUCUUUUUUACAUUUUCAUUGUGCGUAAUGUGUAUGUAUGUGCGUGUGUGUGUAUGCGUGUCUUGGAUACCGUGACGGCUCCGCUGCCGUUGCGAUGGUGUGCUUGUGUCUAUGCAUCUCGCUGUGCAUCGGCGAUCGCCAUCCUCGCCUUUGUUUCUACAGUUUUGCCGGCGGCCUUCGCCUGUGCACUCCCCCGAAAAUAAUGAACAGAAAACGCCAAGGAUACCCUCCAGCAAGUGGCGUAGCACCGACAACACGAGAACAUCAGCGAACGUGAAAGUUGAGGAGAUUCACGACUGCACCCUGGCUUUCCAGGUGUCACAUGAGUUGCCGAUACCCCUCAAAGUCUUCCUUUGCGUGCAGGAAUGCCUCCGUUGUGCAGGCGGGCAUCUACAAAGGCAAAUGCGUGCACGGGGAC